rnacentral:rRNA from 1 species
GAUGAACGCUAGCGGCAGGCUUAAUACAUGCAAGUCGAGGGACAGCACAGGUAGCAAUACUGGGUGGUAACCGGCAAACGGAUGCGGAACACGUACACAACCUUCCUUUAAGUGGGGAAUAGCCCAGAGAAAUUUGGAUUAAUACCCCGUAAUAUAGUUGAAUGGCAUCAUUUGAUUAUUAUAGCUACGGCGCUUAAUGAUGGGUGUGCGGCUGAUUAGAUAGUUGGCGGGAUAACGGCCCACCAAGUCUACGAUCAGUAGCUGGUGUGAGAGCAUGAUCAGCCACACGGGCACUGAGACACGGGCCCGACUCCUACGGGAGGCAGCAGUAAGGAAUAUUGGUCAAUGGACGCAAGUCUGAACCAGCCAUGCCGCGUGAAGGAUUAAGGUCCUCUGGAUUGUAAACUUCUUUUAUUUGGGACGAAAAAGGGCCUUUCUAGGUCAACUGACGGUACCAGAUGAAUAAGCACCGGCUAACUCCGUGCCAGCCGCCGCAGUAAAAC